CCAGAUAUUUUCAUUCUUUCACUUUCGCUCUCUUUCUCUCACUCCUUCUAGCGUAUUCCCAUAUUUUUCUAUUCCCUUCCUUCUCGAAGCUUCACCGUUCAAUGGCGGAUUCCGGUUUCACGUAACGACUAUCCGUUGUUUUCACUUUCCAUCCUUCAACAGAACCGAAUUUCCAUCUUUCAGAUCCAUCUCGUCGCUGAGAAACGGCGAGAGUAAAGGUUACUUUUGAGAUGGUUUUUCAAUGGAGAUUUGCGUUCGGAUCUCAGGGUUAUUACUUCCAGAGGUUAAAUACAUCUAAAACAUUCCUAAAGCCUUGUCAAUAUCCUUUGAAACAACAAUCUUACUGAGCCAAUUCAAAAGGAACAACAAGGUUGUUGUGAUCUUAGCAAGGUGAGUAGUGUGAUCAACUGGCCAAUCCCAAUCAAUGUAAAAGGCGAUCCUAGUUUCCUUGGGUUGAUAAGAUAUUAUAUAAAGUUUAUUGAUAAUUAUGCUUAAAAGGUUUUAGAGCAAGUGAAGUGGAAGUCACAAUGUGCUCGGUGUUGGCUCUUCCAUAUUUUGAUAUUUCGUUUGAGAUUAAGUGUAACGUUUCAAGCAAGGUUUUUUAAAGCUUUUGACACUUGUCAGAGAUAAAAGUAUGUUACCAUUAUUAUUAGUGGAUUAUUGUAACCUCUUUCUAUUCAAGUUUUGGUGUGGAAUGAGGUUUCUAUGAAUUUUAUCACAGUGUUGCCUAAGAUUAAAGGGUAAAAGGUUGUUUUGGUGGUGGUAGAUCGCCUCUCCAAGCACAACCACCAAUUAGUUUGUGUUCAGAACACUAGAUUGGUUGGCUUGGACUGAGUUGUGGCAUAACAAUGCAUUUAAUGUAUCUACGGGGCUUACUCCUUACUCCAUUUGAGAUUAUAUACGGUAGGAUAUCAUCAGAUUUGGUGCAAUAUUUGAAAGGAGUGACAAAUGAUAGAGAUAAAGUAUUGCGUCAACUCAAGUAUAAUCUAUUGAAGGCUCGGGAGAUAAUGAUGUUUUAUGUUGAUCAAAAGCGAAAAGAUUUGAAGUUUAAGGUGGGUGAUUGGGUUUUCUUAAAACUAAAUCUUGAUAGAUAAAAUUUUGCAGUGCAAAACACCCAUAAAAAAUUAUCUCCAGGUUUCUUUGGUCCCUACAAAAUUGUUCAACAGAUGGGGUGGCGUAUAAAUUAGAGCUACCAACAACUUCACGAGUUCAUCCUGUUUUCACAUGUCGCAAUUUAAGAAAACUACGGGAAAUUAUCAAACUGUUAUAGACCUACUUGCAAUCAUGAGGGAGGAUGGAGGAUCUAUAUGGCCUUACUCAACAUGACAUGGUGAUGUCAUUGAAGGGUAUGUUCAAAAGAGAGAUACAUCUGAGAUAAUGUUUAGUGCAAUGGAAAGGCAUGGACGCAAUUGAUGCUACUUGGGAGUUUGAACUACUUCUCAAAAGUUAAUUUUCAGAUAUUAAACUUGAGGGCAAGGCUUCUUUUGAAGGGAUAAGUAACAUUAAGCCCAUUCCAAUGGAGGAUGACAUUUUAUUGUACUUUAAGCAUGAUAGGCCUAAGAUUUAGAGAGUUCAUGAAAAAAUGAAAAAGAGAGUUGUGGAAGGUAGUGCCACAUAGAUCCACUUAAACAAUUAUAAAUUUCUCCCUAAUAAUAGGGAAGGCAAGACGUAUGUCUUAGGUCACAAUUUUAUUGUAUGAUUUGCAUUAGGUAGUAAGAGAAUUAUUCUUCUUUGUCUUGAGGAUCCCCUGACUCUAGAAUUGUAAUAGGAAUUUCAUUAUCAUUUAAUAAUACCAUUCAUUGUUUCAUUCAUUUUCUCUUUUAGAAUGCUCUAUCAAUAAGAGAGUGCAAGUUCAAAUGGCAUAUUUGGCUAAAUCUCUCUCUUAUGACUCAUUUAGGGCUAGUUCCAAAUGGCCUAUUGUCUUUGGUUUGAAGGACUCGUAUUUAAAUCCAUUAUCUUGCAUUUGCGAGAUCUUUCUACUGUACUACGUGAAUUUCCACAAAUAUCCUUCAUUUUCGGUGAUGCAUUUCUGGACGCAUCUCUUGCACACUAAAGUAAGGUCAUUCUGAAAGGCGCUCUAUAUGUUGGAUAAUUUAAUUUUUAUUCUAAAGAUGCAUCUCCGGAACAUUUUAAGAAAGACCUUAAUUAUUUAAUAAUUCAGUAGAUAUUUUGGAGAUGCAUCUCCGAAAUUAUGGGCGACAUUUUGAAAUUUACAUUACCUUUGCAUGUCAGAUAUUUUCGAAGAUGCAUUCAAAAAUACCUGAUAAAAGAACCAGCUGCAUGAUCGCACAGUCAUUGUUGAUAUAGUUGGUUUUCAACCAAACCCUUCACCCUGAAAAUCUUUCAUUCUCAAUCCAUUUUUCAC